rnacentral:rRNA from 2 species
UAAGCCGUUGAAGGUGUCCUGUGAGGGGUGCUGGAGGUAUCAGAAGUGCGAAUGCUGACAUAAGUAACGAUAAAGCGGGUGAAAAGCCCGCUCGCCGGAAGACCAAGGGUUCCUGUCCAACGUUAAUCGGGGCAGGGUGAGUCGACCCCUAAGGCGAGGCCGAAAGGCGUAGUCGAUGGGAAACGGGUUAAUAUUCCCGUACUUGGUGUUACUGCGAAGGGGGGACGGAGAAGGCUAUGUUGGCCGGGCGACGGUUGUCCCGGUUUAAGCGUGUAGGUGUGUGUUCCAGGUAAAUCCGGUUCACUUUAACACUGAGGCGUGAUGACGAGGCACCACGGUGCUGAAGCAACAAAUGCCCUGCUUCCAGGAAAAGCCUCUAAGCAUCAGGUAACAUCAAAUCGUACCCCAAACCGACACAGGUGGUCAGGUAGAGAAUACCAAGGCGCUUGAGAGAACUCGGGUGAAGGAACUAGGCAAAAUGGUGCCGUAACUUCGGGAGAAGGCACGCUGACACGUAGGUGAAGUGAUUUACUCAUGGAGCUGAAGUCAGUCGAAGAUACCAGCUGGCUGCAACUGUUUAUUAAAAACACAGCACUGUGCAAACACGAAAGUGGACGUAUACGGUGUGACGCCUGCCCGGUGCCGGAAGGUUAAUUGAUGGGGUCAGCGCAAGCGAAGCUCCUGAUCGAAGCCCCGGUAAACGGCGGCCGUAACUAUAACGGUCCUAAGGUAGCGAAAUUCCUUGUCGGGUAAGUUCCGACCUGCACGAAUGGCGUAAUGAUGGCCAGGCUGUCUCCACCCGAGACUCAGUGAAAUUGAACUCGCUGUGAAGAUGCAGUGUACCCGCGGCAAGACGGAAAGACCCCGUGAACCUUUACUAUAGCUUGACACUGAACAUUGAGCCUUGAUGUGUAGGAUAGGUGGGAGGCUUUGAAGCGUGGACGCCAGUCUGCGUGGAGCCGACCUUGAAAUACCACCCUUUAAUGUUUGAUGUUCUAACGUGGACCCGUAAUCCGGGUUGCGGACAGUGUCUGGUGGGUAGUUUGACUGGGGCGGUCUCCUCCUAAAGAGUAACGGAGGAGCACGAAGGUUGGCUAAUCCUGGUCGGACAUCAGGAGGUUAGUGCAAUGGCAUAAGCCAGCUUGACUGCGAGCGUGACGGCGCGAGCAGGUGCGAAAGCAGGUCAUAGUGAUCCGGUGGUUCUGAAUGGAAGGGCCAUCGCUCAACGGAUAAAAGGUACUCCGGGGAUAACAGGCUGAUACCGCCCAAGAGUUCAUAUCGACGGCGGUGUUUGGCACCUCGAUGUCGGCUCAUCACAUCCUGGGGCUGAAGUAGGUCCCAAGGGUAUGGCUGUUCGCCAUUUAAAGUGGUACGCGAGCUGGGUUUAGAACGUCGUGAGACAGUUCGGUCCCUAUCUGCCGUGGGCGCUGGAAGACUGAGGGGGGCUGCUCCUAGUACGAGAGGACCGGAGUGGACGCAUCACUGGUGUUCGGGUUGUCAUGCCAAUGGCACUGCCCGGUAGCUAAAUGCGGAAAAGAUAAGUGCUGAAAGCAUCUAAGCACGAAACUUGCCCC